UUGGACGCUGGCGGCAUGCUUUACACCUGCAAGUCGAACGGCAGCGCGGGCUUCGGCCUGGCGGCGAGUGGCGAACGGGUGAGUAAUACAUCGGAACGUGCCCAGUAGUGGGGGAUAGCUCGGCGAAAGCCGGAUUAAUACCGCAUACGGCCUGAGGGUGAAAGCGGGGGAUCUUCGGACCUCGCGCUAUUGGAGCGGCCGAUGGCAGAUUAGCUAGUUGGUGGGGUAAAGGCCUACCAAGGCGACGAUCUGUAGCUGGUCUGAGAGGACGACCAGCCACACUGGGACUGAGACACGGCCCAGACUCCUACGGGAGGCAGCAGUGGGGAAUUUUGGACAAUGGGCGAAAGCCUGAUCCAGCAAUGCCGCGUGUGUGAUGAAGGCCUUCGGGUUGUAAAGCACUUUUGGCGGGAACGAAAAGGACUGUGCCAAUACCACGGUUCGAUGACGGUACCCGCAGAAUAAGCACCGGCUAACUACGUG
rnacentral:rRNA from 1 species